GACGAACCGGACAAACGUUAUUCGGAAUUAUUGGGCUUAAAGGGUGUGUAGGCGGCCAUGUAAGUCGGGUGUGAAAUCCCUCAGCUCAACUGAGGAACUGCGCCCGAUACUGCACGGCUCGAGGGAGACAGGGGUGAGCGGAACUGAUGGUGGAGCGGUGAAAUGCGUUGAUAUCAUCAGGAACACCGGUGGCGAAAGCGGCUCACUGGGUCUCUUCUGACGCUGAGACACGAAAGCUAGGGUAGCGAAC
rnacentral:rRNA from 1 species